GUUGUUUAUAGAGCAGGCUGUAUGAGCACUUAUAGAGCAGCUAUAGGGGUGGGAAAUGAAUUGAUGCAAUUCUUCGAUGAGCGAUACCAUGGCAACAGUGUCGCGUGGCACACUUGACCCCAGAUGACCUGAUAACGACCUGACAUUCUUACCUGACAUGCUGACUUUUGGCCAUUCAAUAGAAUUGUAAUAAAAAAAAAAUCCCAACUGUUUCAAAACCUGAUUGGUGUUUUAUUUUCAAUACUACGCAAAAGAAGAAAAGUUGUAUUCGUUCAACAUGCUGUACACUGUGUGCAUUGAUUCAGUACAACAUGCUGUUGUGACACAGCCUGACUCAUAAGCUGUGUCAACUAAAAUGGGAGACGGACGAGGGAUGAACGAAGUAACAAUCAUUUAUUACAAAGAUAAUGAAAUAAGAAUAACAACAGUCAAAACGCAGCCGUCUGCAACGGGGAAGGGAUCUCUCCCGGGAACUGGAGAAGGAGUGCUGAUAUAGGCCACAGAGCCACACCGGCCACAGAGCCAAACCGGGCUGAUGACCCACCACUCCAAACAGGAAACCUGGAAAAGAGCCAGCAAGAGGGAAAAGACCCCUAGUGGCGUGGAGGGGUCGUCACACUGUACACAGUCUGCAUUGCUUCAGUCCAACAGGCUGUACCCAGAGUGCAUUGCUUCAGUCCAACAGGCUGUACCCAGAGUGCAUUGCUUCAGUCCAACAGGCUGUACCCAGAGUGCAUUGCUUCUGUCCAACAGGCUGUACACAGAGUGCAUUGCUUCGGCCCUCUUAUCUUCCUGCACCCUGCUCAUCAUAGCAGCCACCAGCUCACCAAAUCUAGAAUACUCAUCCCUGAACACCAUCUUCUUCUUCUGCCCGUCCAGCCUGCGCCCUUCCUGCCGGAUCAUCUGCCCGUCGUCCUGCCCUCUCUGCCCCCUCUGCCCGUCGUCCUGCCUCCUCUGCCCGUCCAGCCGGAUCAUCUGCCCGUCGUCCUGCCCUCUCUGCCCCCUCUGCCUGUCGUACUGCCCCCUCUGCCCUCUCUGCCACCUCUGCCUGUCGUGCUUCCCCCUCUGCGCCCUCUGCCUUUUCUUCCGGCCCCUGCGGGACAGAGGAGAUGCCAGCCUCAUGGCGGCUGGAGGGGUGGACAGAGCCGGUACACUGGGGAGCGGAGAAACUGAGGUGGAUGUCUCGGGGGAGGCCUCAUGUGUGGCUGGGGUGGAUGGCUGGACAGAGGCCUCGGGUGUUGGGGUGGAUGGCUGGACAGAGGCCUCGGGUGAAGAGGUGGAUGUCUCGGGGGAGGCCUCAGGUGUUGGGGUGGAUAACGAAGGUCCUUUCUUCGUGGCUACGUUGCAAGGUGAGGGCUGUUCAUGAUAAUAAAAGAACAGAAAGUCUGUUAGCA
rnacentral:lncRNA from 1 species